GUGGUGCCGGCGUGCACUGCGCACACGUGUAAACCCCAAAGGCGUAGACAACUCGAACAAGUCUAAGGGAUUACGGGUUCGGCACGGGCGCAAGCCUUCGUCGGGCCCCUCCAUCCCGGGGUGUCCCAUCGAGCGAGCCUCCGGGCCCGCUGUUGGGCAUCCCUCGAGUGCGUAGGAUGCGACCCGAAAGAUGGUGAACUAUGCCUGAUCAGGCCGAAGUCAGGGGAAACCCUGAUGGAGGGCCGAAGCAAUUCUGACGUGCAAAUCGAUUGUCAGAGUUGGGCAUAGGGGCGAAAGACCAAUC
rnacentral:rRNA from 1 species